rnacentral:rRNA from 1 species
UACGUAGGGGGCAAGCGUUGUCCGGAUUUAUUGGGCGUAAAGAGCGUGUAGGCGGCUUUACAGGUCCGUUGUGAAAACUCGAGGCUCAACCUCGAGACGCCGGUGGAAACCGUAAAGCUAGAGUCCGGAAGAGGAGAGUGGAAUUCCUGGUGUAGCGGUGAAAUGCGUAGAUAUCUGGAGGAACACCGGUGGCGAAGGCGGCAUCCUGGACCAACACUGACGCUGAGGAGCGAAAGCCAGGGGAGCAAACGGG